GAUGAACGCUGGCGGCGUGCCUAAUACAUGCAAGUCGAGCGAACAGAUGAGGAGCUUGCUCCUCUGACGUUAGCGGCGGACGGGUGAGUAACACGUGGAUAACCUACCUAUAAGACUGGGAUAACUUCGGGAAACCGGAGCUAAUACCGGAUAAUAUAUUGAACCGCAUGGUUCAAUAGUGAAAGACGGUUUUGCUGUCACUUAUAGAUGGAUCCGCGCCGCAUUAGCUAGUUGGUAAGGUAACGGCUUACCAAGGCGACGAUGCGUAGCCGACCUGAGAGGGUGAUCGGACACACGGGAACUGAGACACGGUCCAGACUCCUACGGGAGGCAGCAGUAGGGAAUCUUCCGCAAUGGGCGAAAGCCUGACGGAGCAACGCCGCGUGAGUGAUGAAGGUCUUCGGAUCGUAAAACUCUGUUAUUAGGGAAGAAAAAAUGUGUAAGUAAAUAUGCACGUCUUGACGGUACCUAAUCAGAAAGCCACGGCUAACUACGUG
rnacentral:rRNA from 1 species